UACGUAGGUGGCAAGCGUUGUUCGGAAUUAUUGGGCGUAAAGGGCGCGUAGGCGGUUUGUUAAGUCGGCUGUGAAAGCCCGGGGCUCAACCCCGGAGGGUCAGCCGAUACUGGCAGACUAGAGUACGGAAGAGGUAGCUGGAAUUCCCGGUGUAGCGGUGAAAUGCGUAGAUAUCGGGAAGAACACCAGUGGCGAAAGCGCUCUACUGGGCCAUAACUGACACUGAGGGACGAAAGCUAGGGGAGCGAAAGGG
rnacentral:rRNA from 1 species